GAGGGUGAUGGUGGGGGUGGGGGUUCAUGAUACUCUAUACACGGUGGCGGUGGAGGUGGGGGAGGCUCUAUACACGGCGGUGGUGGGGGCGGUGAAUAGACCGGUGGAGGGGGAGAAUAGACAGGUGGAGGAGGUGGGGGAGAUAAGUAAGGAUAGAUUGGUGGUGGAGGUGAAUGUGGCGGAGGAGGCGGCGAGUUGGGCGGUGGUGGAGGAGAGUACAAUGGCGGAGGUGGUGGAGAGUUGGGCGGGGGCGGUGAAUUGUAGUAGUAAACAGGUGGGGGUGGAGAGAACAAGGGAGGAGGAGGUGGGGGAGAGUUCGGUGGUGGAGGUGGGGGUGAUGGUCGGACGCAAUACACCGGCGCCGGUGGUGGCGAUGGUGGGGGAGGAGACGGCGGAGGAGGAGAUGGUGGAGGUGGUGGCGGAGAGUAAACCGGUGGUGGUGGUGGCGGUGGAGAUGGUGGGGGUGGUGAUGGUGGAGGUGGAGGUGGAGAGUAAACCGGUGGGGGCGGCGGUGGGGGUGAUGGUGGGGGUGGGGAAGGUGGUGGUGGAGAAGGCGGAGGAGGAGACGGGGGAGGUGGGGGUGGAGAGUAAACUGGCGGUGGUGGGGGUGGUGGAGACGGGGGUGGCGGGGAUGGUGGAGGCGGAGGAGGAGAGUAAACAGGUGGGGGAGGAGGAGAUGGGGAUGGCGGUGGCGGAGGGAGUGGCCGGUAAAUGGGAUGUGAAGCGGAUUCAGGUGGCGGAGGAGAGAAAACAGGUGGCGAUGGCGAUGGGACAACAACAGGUGGCGGAGAAGGCACCACCACAGGUGGCGACGGAGCAACAUAAGAAGGACAUCCAAAAGAACUGCAAUCCACAGGCUUAGACAAGAACGACUUACAUUGCCUCUCAGAACGUUGCACCGGCCGCUUCGGUAUACAGUUCCUCCGGUCAUCAAAAUCCGGCAACGCCAAGCACGACGGCGCCUCUCCCGUAAAGAAAUUAUAAGAGUAAGUAAAGUUCUGCAGAUUCGGCAAUUUACAGAUACUCUCCGGAAUCUUUCCAGACAAGAAAUUAUGCGCCACAUUCAGCUGCUCCAAACUCACCAUUCCACCUAUCGUCUCCGGCAAACUCCCAAAAAAUUCAUUAAAACUCACAUCAAACACCGUCAGAUUCUUCAGAAACCCAAUCUCCGACGGCAAACACGAUCGAAACCCAUUAUUCAUCAGAAUAAUCUCAUUCAAUCUGGACAUAUUCCCAAUGCUUCCCGGCACACACCCAUGAAAUUUGUUAUUAGCAAGAACAAUAACCGAAACCGGCGAGUUCCCGAAAUUUUCCGGUAACUCGAACCGGAAUCUGUUAUGGUUGAUGAAAAUGGCGUCCAAAUCCUUAUCGAAAAGCUCCUUAGGUACAGUCCCUUCAAACUCGUUGAACCUCAGAUCCAAAAACUUCAGCUCCGGCAACUCAAGAACCACCCGAGGGAAUUUUCCGGCGAAGCGAUUGUUACUCAGAUCCAACUCGAACAGCCUCUUCAGGUUCUUGAACUUGUGAGGAACAGUCCCACAGAACCGAUUAGAGUUUAUAUGGAACAAUGCAAGAUCCACAAGAAGACCAAGCUCCUCCGGCAAGUACCCGGCAAUGUCGCCGUGGUUGAGGUCAAUUCCGGCAACUGUACGGAUCGAUGAAUUAUCCGGCGCCGGAGCACAGAAAACCCCUGUGUAAUGACAAACAUCAGAUCCAACCCAAUUCCGAGUGAGAUUUGAAGGGUCAGACAGAAUCGCUUGCUUCCAAGCUUGUAAUGCUAUGUAAGCAUUUCUGAUUCUGUCAUUUUCAAAAACAAGCUUAGGAUCGACGACGACUUCUUCAC
rnacentral:misc_RNA from 1 species